rnacentral:rRNA from 1 species
GACGAACGCUGGCGGCGUGCUUAACACAUGCAAGUCGAACGGAAAGGCCCUGCUUUUGUGGGGUGCUCGAGUGGCGAACGGGUGAGUAACACGUGAGUAACCUGCCCUUGACUUUGGGAUAACUUCAGGAAACUGGGGCUAAUACCGGAUAGGAGCUCCUGCUGCAUGGUGGGGGUUGGUAAGUUUCGGCGGUUGGGGAUGGACUCGCGGCUUAUCAGCUUGUUGGUGGGGUAGUGGCUUACCAAGGCUUUGACGGGUAGCCGGCCUGAGAGGGGGACCGGCCACAUUGGGACUGAGAUACGGCCCAGACUCCUACGGGAGGCAGCGGUGGAGAAUAUUGCACAAUGGGCGGAAGCCUGGUGCAGCAACGCCGCGUGCGGGAUGACGGCCUUCGGGUUGUAAACCGCUUUCGCCUGUGACGAAGCGUGAGUGACGGUAAUGGGUAAAGAAGCACCGGCUAACUACGUG